CAAUCGGCUCUUUUCAGAGCCACCGCACAAUCUGUUAAAAGAAUUG
rfam:Anopheles dirus strain WRAIR2 unplaced genomic scaffold supercont1.17, whole genome shotgun sequence.